ensembl:lncRNA
GUUAAUCUUCAGGUCUGUUUGAAGAUUGCUUUCUUGUCUUGAUUUUGGCUAUUGCUGUAGGUUUGCCUGCGAAGCUCUAAACGUGAUCUUAAUGCUGACCUGUGGACUGACUUUUCUAGCUUGAUUUCACAUCUGCCUCAUAACAGGACACUGUCUAAUGAACUAGAUUCCUACUGGAAUGAGUUACCUCUGGACCUUUCCUGCUUAAACGCUGCAGCACUAGACUUUGGCUGGUGAGUCCUACCUUCUUCUUGCUCUGGGAUCUCCUUAAUGCCCCAACCCAAAGCAUUCUUGUUUGCUCGUCAGCAUGUGCAGAGGUCCCUGCAAGACUUUUAAGCCUCAUGGAGGAUAUCUUACUGAAAGCAAACCUGUGGCAUGCAGCCAAGGAGAUGUAAGAGAGGUGAAGAAGAGAUCACAUUCCCUAAAAAGAACAGUUAGGCUCUCCUAUGUCUCUUUUGUGUAUUUGUCUGUCUUCUAUAAAAUCCGUGGCUGCUGGACUUGUGGAAAAAACCCUACACCUUCUUGAUGCACUAAAGUGAAGAUCUGAAGCAACUGGAUGCAAUUUCUUAAUGUCCUAGGAGCAAAUGGUGGCUGUUUUUCCAUGUGCCAAAAAAGCGUGGCUACAAAGGCACCGCCAACAUGACAUGAAGCCAGUGUGUUCUGCUUUCUGCCAAAUACGUGACUAGUUUGCAAGUACAAUUGGAAUUGUAUUGCUUCAAAUCUAGCUUGAGGUGGUUCAGAGCCUUGUGAAAGCAAAAGAUAACUCCCCAUAUGAUUGUAAGCUAACUAGUGUGCGGGGGAGCAGCUCCCAGCCAAUUUAGGCAUGAGAUGUACAUCAAAAUAGAACGAGAGACUUCUAAAACAGGAGGUGGAGAAAGUGCACACCAUUCAAAAUCCAUUAAGAGGAGCUUCAGUCAACCUCAAACAGUCAUUUCUAAUGCAAUUAAAGGAAGCUUUUGUAGACUUCAUCAUCUGUGCCUACAGAAAACUAAGUGGAACAUCAAGAGAUGCAAGAGUGAAAGGAAAUGGUCUGGAAAUGAGUUUAGGUCUUCUUUAGGACUUCUUCUGAAAUAAAAUGGCACUUCACUUUGUGUAAGCUGGCAGGUUGCUAAAUACUGCUGCUGUCUCAGACUGAAAAGUCAACUGCUGAUCCUGUGCUGAGGUGCAGCACAGAAGAAGAAGAACGUAGACCCAGCGCUUUAAUGAAAGGUGCCAGAACUGAGAGAAUUCUGGAGUAGCCCAAAGGUUUAUGAUGAGCAAUUAGUUCCCAAAGUUAAUUUUUCUUUGCAGUUAGGUUCUUGGAAUGAACUCUCAUUGCCUCAAGAUGAAACCUGCACUCUGUUCCUUCUGAACUUUGAAGAAGUGUUCUGAUACUUUUAUUGUGGCAUAUGUUUUUCCCAAUUAUAUUUAAAUGUAAUUAUGUGUAUAUCAUCCAAACAAGUCAAGAACUUGCACCUUUUGAAAGUCUGACAUUUUCUGUUUUGUUUUGCUGUUUUUUUUUUUCCCCCACCCUCUACUGUUAUUCAUGUACGUGCUUUAAAAACAGGAGAUAUACAAAUCAACUCUGAAGUCAGGGUGUAUUGCAUUAAAAUGUGUUUUAAGUACAAUCUCAGUAUUCCCACUUAGCUGUAAAUUUCAUUUGUCAACACUUCAACUUCCUGGCUAUGACUCCAUGCCUUCAGCUGGCUUG